ensembl:snRNA U6 U6 spliceosomal RNA
GUGCCAGCUUGGGCAGCACUAAAAUUGGAAUGCUGCAGAGAAGAUUAGCAUGGCCCCUGUGCAAGGAUGACAUGCAAAUUGGUGAAGCGUUCCUUAUUUUU